ACUGCAUGGUGUGGACAUUUUUGAAUUAGGUCCUUUAACCUCUCCUAUAUUUCGUGGAACAUUUCCCCACCUAUUUGGGAAAAACUGUUUAUAGCUUUUCUAAUCU